GAGCAAGGGCGUUGAACUAGUAUAAAUGGCGCUACUUGCAUUGAAGGUUGGCGAAAUGAAUUUUUCUUAAAUUGCGAUUCUCCGUGCCUCUCAAAUCAUAUAAAAUUCAUUUUGAUCAGGUCUCGAACAAGUCGCUACAUU
rnacentral:snoRNA from 1 species